UAAUCCAAAAAGGAAUUUCAUAAUGUCUGAGGCCAAACAAGUAUUGAAUUUCAAAAUUGGUUAACAGUCAGUGAUCUUAAAAUGUACAGAGCCAAAGAUGACAUUAAUCGGUCUUCACCAUGAGCAAUAAAAAUCAGUUGAUUCAUAUUGCAUUUGCCCUUUAACUAAUACAUAAAUGAAGGUUUUGAUAAAAACUGUUCUUAAUCCUAAGGGAAAAAGGAACAUUUAACUAGCAACUGAGACAAGCUCAUGCAUCUAGUGGUUUGAUUGUAGACACCGCCAUAGAUUAGUUUCUCAGGUGCAAUGAUUAACGCUUCUUCUUGCUUGCUUUUGCUGCACUGGACUUGGAGGGGGUAGCAACCAGGCACACAAACAGAACCACAAUGGAGAUGACAGAAAUUACAGAUCCAUAUUUUGCCAAUAGCCUCUGCAUACAGAAAGGAGGAUAUCAUUUAAAUAUUUUCUCCAAGGUGUGAACGUCAAUAAAUAGAUUUGAAAUAUGUACACUUCUAUAUUCAAUGAUUAAUUAGGGUCUAUUUGGCAUUAUUAAUUGAGUUGCUAUUGAUAAAAGCACUACUUUAAAUAUGUUGGUUAGAGGUUAUUAAACAUUGUUUUUAUAUUAAAUUUAACAUGUUUUAGUUAUAAAAACUCCAAAAGCUUAACUUCUUUAAAUUGUUCAUUUAACAUCUAAAAGGUGUUUUUCCAAAAAGUAGGUUUCAGCCUCAAUGCCAAACAAGCUCUUAAUCAGCAGGGGCAAAUCAGCUUCAAAAGGAGGAUGCAUGGGUUUAUUUUGCAUAUUUAUGGCCAAGUUCCCGGAUAUAUUAUUCAACAGCAAGCAUCACAAAGACAAUGAGGAGACGAUUCAUACCUUAGCCUACAAAGUUUGGCCAGUGCAAUUCCACAGAACAAUAAGUCAAAAAAGAAGAAGAGGCUUCAGUCAAUAGGAAAAUAUGCCCUCAAGCAUAAAAUAGCAGAUUUAUACACCUAAAAAAUCGGCAAGAAACUUACCCACUCAAACUUUUUUUCAGGAGGUCUCUCUGCAAGAACGUCUAGAGGCAGUAUGGGAGUUGAAUAUGCCUCCUGUAGAGCCGACUUUGUGGGAAUGCGAAAAGUAAUAACUGCUGGGGAACCAUAAAACAUUCCUUUCACUUUGCCCUCCAAUUCAAAAGAGUGUGACAGGAUACCACCACUGCAAAAUGCAGCGUGAAAAACAUUUCACAGACAAAGGAUCACAAAUGCAAAAUUGACUGCAACUACUGAAAAACAGUACUCACGCAUCAAGUCUUUCCCAUGACUGUGAAGUGUUGCCACUGAUGACAUCAAAUAUAUCUUGAGGCCAGCGAUCAUCAACAAGACUUACAUCAUAAGCAGUCGAAGUUCCCUGAUUGUAGAUAUCUAUGGAGACGGAGACGCGUUCGGAGCCGGAUUUGAGCCUGUUGAGAGUGGCCUUCUUAUUGGCUACUAUGAAGGGAACAUCUGUGCUAGCGAGCGACGACGACACCAAAAAGAGUGCUAACAAUAUCAAGAUUAGCGACUUGCUAAUUGGAUUUGUCAUUGAUUAGUGCUCGCGGCGGAUGAUGGUGGCGCUGGUGGUGGCGACGAGGAGGAUUUCGAUUCUGAUUUGGUUGAUUUGUCUAACAGAAAUGAGAAGGCGCAGCACGAAGAACUGAAAAACUGCUAGGGUGCGUACGUAGUAAUUGGCAAAUUACAGAAAACUCCCGUG
rnacentral:misc_RNA from 1 species